AAACACUCAGCAUUUAUCUUUUGAAGUCUUACAGAAGGAAAUUCUAGCAGAUUUUACUACCAAACUUGUAGUGAAGGAACAGACCAGAUGUUUAUUGGCACAUAUACUAUGAUGCCAGUCCUAGAAUCACCUUGCAAUGGAAAGUUAAAUGACAGUUUAGGUCUCAACAGAAUACAUAAUCCAAGAGAAUACUUAAGGAUUCCUACGUCAAGCUCAUUGUCUUCAAAUAUCAGAAUGGAGAACUACUUGUCAAAGGACAACCAAGUCCCUGUAUGUCUCCUCUGGACAGCACAGGUGAAAUCUUCUAAGAGACAACAAUCAUCAAAACCUCCUCACCAUGACAGCAAGUAAGGAGGAGGGACCCUGAAGACGCUCGAUACCCCUUUUCAGCAGGAAGUAGCUAUGAAGAAUGACCUCUGCCCCAUCUCCCAAAAUAUUUCUGGGUCCCAACCACUUGAGGGAGAAAUGUAAGAGUAGAUAGAUAUGAGCAGGCACAAGGGGAGGUACCCAUGCUGGAAAGAAUCCCCCAGAACACCUCUUUGGAGGCUCAGUACUCCAUCUUCUAACUGUCAGAAUGUUGUUAACUAGAUCAUGAUAAGGAAAAAAGGCAAAGGGGAAUUCCUGAAAGCUGAGCAGCCACCAUGAAUACAAAAUUGACUGUUAUACCUUCCUGGGGUGGUGGUAAUAUUCAGUGCCACCAUUAGGUAGGAUUCAUAUUGAUUAAUCUUUCCCAUGCAUUAAGCACAGUAAGGGAGGAUCCCCCAAACUUUGGUGAGAACUGGGCAAAGAAAUAACUGAGGCAAUAGAAGAUAACAAUGCAAAAUGUCAUGUGGAUGUUUCCAGCAGGGUCAGCCCCCUCCUCUCUUGGAGUGUAUUUGUACUUUCCCAAUAAAACUUUUCUAUAUUUACAAAU